CCGUUUACGAAUAAAUACCCUUAAUUUAAUUAUAUUUCACUUUUCCGAUUAUGAAAAAGAUUCCUUUAAAUAAAUUUGCAAGGUAGGAUACAGAAAGUUUUUUUAUAUUUUUUAAGUAAAAAUUAGCUGUCCCAAGAUUUUGAUAUUAGUAAAACCAAUAGAUCAAUUGCUAUUCUUGGAAUAUAAAAUGAAAUAAACGGCAUUGUAAAAUGAAUAUCUCCCUCGCUAUGAACAGAAUUUAAAAUUUCAUUAUUAUUUCAUAUAUUGUAAUGUAUGCAUAUUAUUAAGUUAUAUUUUCUAUAGACAUACUGUUCAUCGUCUGAUCCAUUGUCUGAUUCAUCGUUUGAUAUAUCCAUGUCAAGAAUAGACAAAACCACAUUUCCUGUUCUUUCAGGAUCGGAAUUAAAUUUAUAAUUUUGUGUCCCAAACAAUAUACUGUUAAACUUAACAUUGAUUGUAUAAAUUUCACCGUGCUUGAAUGAACAACUUACUAAUUGUUAAAAAAUAUAAAUAGUUAUGUUAAAUAGCUUCAUA